rnacentral:lncRNA from 1 species
UGCAAACUAGCUCAAACAUCGAGACUAUUUAUGAUAACAUCAACAAAAGAAAACAUCUUCCAAUUCUACCCAAGUACCCGACGAGGGCUGGAUGGAAUAAAGGUCUAGCUGCUGAGUGUAGUCUUCUGCCCAUUGUUCCUACUAGGAUCCUCUCUCCUCAUUGAUGAUGACAUGACAAUCUUCUUUCUCGAUUAGAAACAGGACUCUCAAGCUUUCCAAAAUCUCCUCUUCAUAUCCUAGACAACGAAAGACGUUUAUGGCCUCAAAUGGUGCCUAUUGUUGUACACUGAUGAAAGUACUUUUCUCACCCUCAAGGAACUAGAUAGAAUAUUCCAAGUCUAUGUGUUCAAUUGAAUGACCUUGGUGUCAAUCAAAUUUUAAAUCUUGUUCUUCAAGGAAAAGCAUGUCUCAAAAGGAUGUCCUUUUAUUCCAGAAGGAUAGGCACAAGUCUGAUUAUGGCGAUACCACACAGAUUUAGUAUCAAUAGGUAUGGCAGAAAUGGGUGUGAUAUAGUCCGCUUCUUUGAGUCGUUCAUAUAAUUGAGCUAUCGGUUCCUCUAGAGGGGUGUAUUAUUUCUUCUUAAAAUUGGAUUUGGGUUUGGGAGCUAGUUGGGAUGUUGGAACAUGACUGGGUCAAAAUGCUUGGAAAUGAGCCGAUUGUAUAUUGUAUAUAGGAUAGGUAGGGCUUUGGAAUUUUGGGUGCAUUAGACAUGGAGUAGGUGCUUGGUAUAGUGGGGUUUGAUAAGAAACUAGGGUUGUAAUUGGUAAGAAGAUGUUAGGUACGAUAUCAAAG